AAACAGUCUAGACCAAUGACCUGCAGCAUCAUGCCCUUUGAAGAAGAGGCAAGUUCGGUCAUGAUGAAGAAGAAUCGAGGCGUACCCCCUUUUAACAAUAGGGAGCAGCUCGAGGCUGCAAAGAGGUACUGAUUAUUAAGGUGACUAUAUGAAAGGAUCACUCCAAAAUAACAGGAAUCUUGAGGAACCCAUUAAUGUAAAGCUGCGGCCAGAGUUCCAUGAGGAGGCAGAAUGUUCUAGAUGAUCCCUGUCUCUUCUCCAUUGAGGAAGUCGUUUCUUGCCUCUCUGUAAGCUCAGUUAAUGUAAGUAGAUUCUGGUUGUAACAGGAAAUGAAAAAAAAAAA
rnacentral:lncRNA from 1 species